AUGCUUGAAGUGUAUGAAGAGGAAGAGUUGAGGUUGACCGGAACUGAAUGUACCAGCUGGGAGGAAGCAGGACGUGACGGAGGGAGGCUACAGACGCAGGGAAGUUACAGAUGGAGAGAGGUUGCAGACGGAGGGAGCUGUAGACGGAGAGAUUGCAGAACACAGAUGUGUGGAGUUGAUUGCAGACGGAGGGAGUUGCGAAGUUGA